rnacentral:ncRNA from 1 species
UAAGUAGGUAGUCUCGACAAGUCGAGGCUAAAAUAGGGAAUCCGGUGAGAUACCGGAGCGGUCGCGCCACUGUAACUUGUUUGAUUCACCCUCAAACAGAUAGCCACUGUUUAGAAACGCCAAAAUCGGUCGUUCACGACAGAAGGCUGUAAGAGGAUCAAAUUCAGAAGCCAGGAACCUGCCUACCA